GUGAAAGUGUUCUUAAGGUAACCUGAAGUAAAAAAAAAAAGCUGGAAAAUUGAAAGGGUUGUCCAUAAAAAUGGAAGAGCUUGAUGUUAUACUGAAAAAAAUUAAAGAAAGAAGAUAAAUGGUUGCUAUAGGGAACCACCCCACUCUGACUCCACAUUUGAACCAAGUUAGCCCCCAUCAGAGCCCAUUAUAGGCCUUUCUAGCAGCUGUGUAGAGGCCAGCCAUGUGACCAUUUACCUCACACACAGCACUGGGAUGGAGUCCAAAGCAGCCAGGUGUCUAUAGGAGCCAUUGUGGACUGUCUGUGGUAUUAUAUGUCACUGCUGAGCACUGACGGUGAUUGCUUCCAUGAACUGAUCCCUCCAUGAAUGAGUCCCUACUACCAAGGCAAGAUGGAACCCAGGCCCUGACACUUAUCUGGCUGUAGCUGCUGAGUGCUGAUGUCCCCACCCUGAAGCCAAUAAUCUCCAGUCUCCACACUCCUCCUGAGGUAAGCUGUUGUGCGCUCUUCUACAGCAGCAUUUAUU